rnacentral:rRNA from 1 species
GGCAUGUGCACGCCCGAGCCCUUGNAUCCCAAACACCACAUGUGAACCCACCGUAGGCCUUCGGGCCUAUGUCUUAUCAUAUAAUCNGAAUGUCUAAUAGAAUGUAAACCCAUUUCGUUGCCUUGAAAACGUAACGAAAGAAAACUAUACAACUUUCAACAACGGAUCUCUUGGCUCUCGCAUCGAUGAAGAACGCAGCGAAAUGCGAUAAGUAAUGUGAAUUGCAGAUUUUCAGUGAAUCAUCGAAUCUUUGAACGCACCUUGCGCCCCUUGGUAUUCCGAGGGGCAUGCCUGUUUGAGUGUCAUUAAAUCCUCAACCCCUCCGAUUCGUUUCGGUGGGGAUUGGACUUGGAGCGUGCUGGCGAAGGUCGGCUCCUCUUUAAAUGCAUCAGCGGAGAAAAUGCCUUUUGCGCCUCUGGCCGUUCAGCGUGAUAAUGAUGUUGCGCUGCGGUCGAGCUUAAGGUCCGCUUCCAAAGGUCCUCGGACAAAUAUACAUAUGACUUUUGACCUCAAAUCAGGUAGGACUACCCGCUGAACUUAAGCAUAUCAAUAAGCGGAGGAAGCUUU